rnacentral:rRNA from 1 species
CCUACGGGGGGCAGCAGUGGGGAAUAUUGCACAAUGGGGGGAACCCUGAUGCAGCGACGCCGCGUGAGUGAAGAAGUAUUUCGGUAUGUAAAGCUCUAUCAGCAGGGAAGAAAAUGACGGUACCUGACUAAGAAGCCCCGGCUAACUACGUGCCAGCAGCCGCGGUAAUACGUAGGGGGCAAGCGUUAUCCGGAUUUACUGGGUGUAAAGGGAGCGCAGACGGCUGUGCAAGUCUGGAGUGAAAGGCGGGGGCCCAACCCCCGGACUGCUCUGGAAACUGUAAAGCUGGAGUGCAGGAGAGGUAAGCGGAAUUCCUAGGGUAGCGGUGAAAUGCGGAGAUAUUAGGAGGAACACCAGUGGCGAAGGCGGCUUACUGGACGACAACUGACGGGGAGGCGCGAAAGCGUGGGGAGCAAACAGGAUUAGAUACCCUAGUAGUC